rnacentral:sRNA from 12 species
CCUUGAAAAAAGCAUAUCUUAUAACUCAGUGAAUAGUUCGUUUUCAGACGGACACUGAGGCGCGCUGGUAAGUCAGUUGAUAUUAUACGAAGCAAGGAUACUUGCGGAUACGGCUGUGUCAUAAAAGGUGACGAUUAUGAUGGAGGUUAGUAGCCAAAACGAGAGGUGCGGCGCUCAGUAGUAUGUAGAUAAAGGUAGUAUAUGAGUCGGGGACGCAAUAGAGACACAAGGGGAUUUACGGAAAACCUGUGCCGAAUCAAGUUAGGUGUUGUGUGGGAAACAACGCAGACCUUGAACUUGAAUUGUCGGAGUGAGUCGCAGUUGCUGCGUCAGAAAACUCCCAGAGGUUAAUCUCUGCUGACAGUUCUUCCCAAUAAGUCCUUUCUGCUGUGACGGUUGAGAAAUCGACCUAUAAGACUUGUAAGAAAACUCCGAGUAGGCAAAACGGCGUAUUGAUUAAUGGCUUUUUAACUUUUUAGUGACACUUGUUAUAAAAAGUUCUGAAUUGAUGCUGAAAGGUAUGGGCAACCAAUCCCAUAAGAGCUAUGUAGAAGUAAUUCUUAGGGUAAGAAGUUAAUGAACGACGGUUUAUUGGCUCAGACUUAUCUUCUCUUUGACUGAAUAUAUUUGCGUACUAUGCAGGGUAGGACGAAGGUCCAUAAGAUAUGCUUUUUUCAA